AAAGUAUUAGUAUAAAAAGUAUAUUUAUUUUCCAAAUAAAUAGUUCUAAAUAGAUUA
rnacentral:tRNA from 1 species